rnacentral:rRNA from 1 species
UACGUAGGGGGCGAGCGUUGUCCGGAUUUAUUGGGCGUAAAGAGCUCGUAGGCGGUUUGGUAAGUCGGGUGUGAAAUCUCCACGCUCAACGUGGAGGGGCCACUCGAUACUGCCAUGACUCGAGUCCGGUAGAGGAGUGUGGAAUUCCUGGUGUAGCGGUGGAAUGCGCAGAUAUCAGGAGGAACACCAAUAGCGAAGGCAGCUCGCUGGGACGGUACUGACGCUAAGGCGCGAAAGCGUGGGGAGCGAACGAGG